GGCAGCAUGGUACAAUGGUUUGUGUGCUGGAUUAAGACUCUGGGAAACCAGGGUUCAAAUCCAUGUUCAGCUA